UGCGAGGAAGUAAAUCUCACACGGUUGAGCUAAUCGCUGGAGAGCAUACAUUUUCGCGGAAACUCUCUAAACCCAUCUAUAGCUUGAUUGGACAAAUAAUGCAAACACCUGAAACUUAAUUUUCCUGCACAAAGCACACAUUUUCAACGAC